GCAUCAGACUCUGUGAAGUGUAUAUUUUGAAGAAGUAUUCAACAGUGUGAGGAGAACACCCAGCUCUUCUGGCCCAGGCUGGGUCCUGUUUUUCCCCACAUUGAAUUGGCGAGCCAGCCAGGAGAGGCUCGAGGAAGCUGAACGCCUGGACGGAACUGCUGACUCUUGGGUUCAACGUUUGGCCACCAAACAAAGAGGUUUCUCUGCAGAUACGGGCCCAAGAAGACGGAGAAGCAGACGACCUCAAGCAAUUAUAAACAGAUUACAAGGGUGCAGCAACACAAGCCAAGGCCAGCUGGGGUGGCCUACAUUAAGAAUUAAACCAAAAAGCCCCUUUGAAAUAAGGGUACCCCAAUUGCAAUCGUUAUAUCGGAGCCCAACAUUAUACAGGAAUGGCCAGAAGCAACGCAAGGGCUUAUGGCUGAUGAUGAUAUUGUGAUCUGAACCACAGAUCGCAGAAGGAGGUUGACAACUGAGUGUGUUGUGACUUGCUCCAAUGACGGGUAAGAUCUCCGCAAAGAGACAACCUAAGGCAGGGAUGAGUCGACCCCUCAGGUCACCGAGUAACAUAACAUAUGUGUCAAGGCUUAUUGCUGGAAUAAGUACUGAAGGGAGAAGAGUUUUCUCUAGCAUAACUAGAAUUCUGAGCAACACUAAAUUCCUAGGCAUUGCAGCAGAGCCCGUCUGUCUCCAGGCACCAAACCUCCCAAGGACAACAACAAGUUUGAAAUAUAGUGGGAGGAGGAUAAGAGAGUGUGGGUAACCUACACAGGAUGGCCGAAGGGAGUACCGGAGGAACAUGAGAUAAUGAGUGAAGCGCCCAUAGAUUACGGUGCAGCAUUGCUUCCCUAGGGACAAACACACAAGAGUAGUCAUUGAAUAAACCAUCUGUGGUAUAACCAACAGAAGUUUAUCAAUUACACCAUUCAGGCCCUAGCUGGGGUGAAAGAACAAUUGCAUGCCACUUCGUUUAUGACAAUACAGAAUAGGCUAUUUCUUGACACAGUGCUAGCUGAGGAACAGGGGGUAUGUGAAAGGAUUGGGGAAGAAUGUUGUACAGUCAUUUCAAUACACACAGGAGAGGGGGUAACAUAACAACAGCAUUAGAGGCAUUGGGAAAACCUGAGAGACGAACACGUUAGAAACACGAAGAGAAUCUAAGGGGUGGUCAUGGUGGGACUGGUUUAACAUGUCAACAUGGAAAAUGGCUCUGGUAAAAUAAGGGUGAUCAUAGGGAUAGUAUUGUUGGUGUUGUUAUUUGCCUGUUGUGUAAUUCCACUAAUUCAGUCCCUGGUCAAAAGGUUGGUAACUUCAGUCACUGGGCAAUUUCCGGUUACAACUGGACAUUACCAAUGCAGAUAAGUGGAGUAUGGCUAAUCAAUAAUGACCCCUCCAUCGUUGGGUGUGGUAAAUUGACCCCAAGAAAAGGAAAUUAACCAUUACAUGAGACGCACAACGGUGCAAGGGGGGUGGGGUGUUUUGCUGUAACUGUCAUUCAAACAGGACCUAACAAGUAUCGCAAUCAAUAUGGAAACCCUCUUUGCGAAUGGGGUGUGAGAGGAGGUGCUGGCUGGGAAUGCUGGAACGUCCAUCCACAAGUCGCCCGCCUGGUGAACAAUCCUGGGUUCUGGGAGGCUUACGCUAGAUGCGCCUGUGGAGAACCUUCUGUGUGUAGCAAAGACCGCCAGCGCUGCGAGGAAAAGAGCGACCAGAGUCACUGUGCAUCGAAUGUUCUAGUAACCUCUCCGCAGUGAUAACCCUCUGCGGUGCGUAAAGUACCUGGGCUGAAGAAACAUACACCGACUGCACAACUCGCGUGACAAUCAAGAGGAUCGAGAGCAGCAAGAGUAUCUGAGUGAUGUGCUAGCAACCUCUCCUCAACAUACAAAGAGCCAGGCUACGACUCGCAAAGAGCCAAACUGGACGGAAGUAGAUGACGGCCCCGAAAACGAAAAUAUGAGUGAAGCAAAAGUAGAGGCUACUAUCAAGAGACCCACAUAACCAAGUAGAAUUGACUGACUGAUUUAAUAAAUAACUAACCAGAAUUAUGAUGUUAGAACUCCAUCUAACCAUCUCAUGUAACUGUAUGCACCUGUAACCCGUGGCUGAUCCAAUUAUUAAUGUACUCAGGCAUAAACACGCAAUAUGUAUACAUGAUAUUGUAUUAGUUAAAAGGAAAAUCAGACCACACUGAACCUCGUAGUGAAACAAAGGCCACGGUUUGCCCUGUUGGUGUUAUUCAGGAAAAUUCAGGCGGCGAAGACAUAAUCCAAUCCAUCGCACUCAGAAGGCGACAUUCACGUGCGAAAGGGGGGUCACGUGAUGCAUGUUCGGGGGCAUGCCUGAGCAGCACUCUGCCUUACUGCUCAUAUUCAGCUACAGUUGUGUGGGUGAGUACUGGGCAACAACUGCUGGGCAAACUGGUUUGCUAGUGGCAAUAUUAAGCAACAGAAAGGCCGUAUAGGGAGUCUGUUGAAUUGUUUACUUCUCAACGAGUCAAUGUGGGCUGAAAACAUUUUAGCAGUAAGGAGAAUAUGUUGUACUGAUUGUUAUGCAGACUAUACUUGUUAUAUUGCUUUGGAUCUCUUUGGCCUGUGUGCAAGGUGAAAUGGCAAGAACUGUGAGGGAUAUGAGCAUUGUGUGGCUUUUACCCACUCCCCGCAAAAUAGGGAGGGGAUGUUUUCCACGCGAUGAUCUGCUCUGCUGUUAGGUCUCCCUCCAGGCGACAGUCAUCAUUUGGUGAUCGCUAAGGUCAUGAGACAGCGUUUUGCUGUCUGACCGGACGGAAUCUGACAACAGAUCUUAGGGAAAGUUUGCCAAAUGUGAUCUAUUCACGUAGUAACAUGAAUGCAUAUUAAUCAACGUAUACCAAAUACAUAUUAAAUGAAUGCUAAGAAACGCAAGAGUCCUAGUGCAGGAAUAUAAAGAUGUGUGUUGGGAUUAGGCUAGGCAUGGGGUGUGCCGCAAGGGCUAGCCACAUGGGCUGUCGUGCAGGAGGCGGCACAUAGGGUGCCCCGCAGUCUCUGCAUUGAUGUGAAAGCUAUGUAUUGGUCAAUUUAGUCCACAUUAAGUUAUGUUCCUGCACCAAGUUGUCUGCACUGCUUAUUUUAUAAGUAAUCACAAUAGAUAUGGAACUUAGAAGUUCCAAAGGGGGGAAUGUGGGGAAAUAAAUAUAGAUGUACUCAAAAAACACAAGCCCAUUGCAUUGGGAAAGAUAUGUAGUUAGAGAGCACAGGCCCAGUGUAUAUGGGAAAGGAAUGUAUUAAUGAGCACCAGCUGUCUACUCCCUGACGUAUCAUCCGGCUAGCAAAAGAGGAAGGAUGCAGGUGGACCAAGGUCGACCUUAGCCAUAAGAUUAACAACCGGCAGCAGGGAAGCGCUUCAUACUAAAAUAGGUGCGAUUAGAACAAACACGUAAUACACACAUAAUUUCUGCCCUGCUAAUUAAGCUGUAUACAAGCAUAUGUGUGGAACUAACGGAAGCUUCUGCCUUUUCCGGAAAAUGUGUCGUCAGAAUGUGAUUUAUGAUAGAAGGGGGAGGGAGAUUCAAGUGGGAGAGGAGCACUAUCAUUUUUUAAAAAUAAGGAAGGAAGGGGCUGAUAAAUAAUGGUGUCCGAGAAUUGGGAAAUAAUGGUGUCUGAAAAAUGAGAAACAAUGAUGUGUGGGAAAAGAGUAAAGUAAAAUGAUGUAAGCAUGAGGGACAGUCCAAGCUUGAGCUCCACAACAGGAGGAGCUAAAAUAGGAUAAAAGGGAGUGUUCAGCCCCAGGGGAGUGGAGUGUGUCUUGUAUGUCUUGUAUGUCUCGAAUGUCUGUGUGUGUGUCUUGUCUGUGGGUGUG